GGUGGGCCCGCGACCUAUCAGCUUGUCGGUGGGGUAACGGCCUACCGAGGCUCUGACGGGUAGCUGGUCUGAGAGGACGACCAGCCACACGGGGACUGAGACACGGCCCCGACUCCUACGGGAGGCAGCAGUGAGGAAUCUUCCGCAAUGGGCGAAAGCCUGACGGAGCGACGCCGCGUGUGGGAUGAAGUCUCUCGGGAUGUAAACCACUGUCGGAGGGGAAGAGAAUGGACGGUACCCUCCAAGAAGGCCCCGGCUAACUACGUGCCAGCAGCCGCGGUAAUACGUAGGGGGCAAGCGUUACUCGGAUUCACUGGGCGUAAAGCGCGUGUAGGCGGCUGGUCAAGCGUGAUGUGAAAUCUCCGGGCUCAACCCGGAAACUGCAUCGCGAACUGGCCUGGCUGGAGUGCAGGAGAGGGAUGUGGAAUUCCCGGUGUAGCGGUGAAAUGCGUAGAUAUCGGGAGG
rnacentral:rRNA from 1 species